rnacentral:lncRNA from 1 species
CGGCGCUCGCACUCCUCGCGGACCGUUCCCGCCCGUCCAACCUCAACCGCCGACGCGUGGCAAUUCAUUCAGCUUUCCAUUGCACUCUCUGUCUCUAAAACUCCACCCGUGCUACUGUAUGCAUCAGGUUCCACUGGCAAAGAAAGCGAAUUUCUCAGGCAAAUCAGUGUCACGAA